rnacentral:tRNA from 3 species
GCGGCUGUGGUGAAAUUGGUAUACACGCAGGCUUCAGGUGCCUGUGGGCUUUACGCCCGUGGAGGUUCGAGUCCUCUCAGCCGCA